GAUGAACGCUAGCUACAGGCUUAACACAUGCAAGUCGAGGGGCAGCAUGGGAGUUUGCUUGCAAACUUCCGAUGGCGACCGGCGCACGGGUGAGUAACACGUAUCCAACCUGCCGAUAACUCGGGGAUAGCCUUUCGAAAGAAAGAUUAAUAUCCGAUAGGAUAUCAAGAUCGCAUGAUCUUGAUAUUAAAGAAUUUCGGUUAUCGAUGGGGAUGCGUUCCAUUAGUUAGUUGGCGGGGUAACGGCCCACCAAGACGACGAUGGAUAGGGGUUCUGAGAGGAAGGUCCCCCACAUUGGGACUGAGACACGGCCCAA
rnacentral:rRNA from 1 species